rnacentral:rRNA from 1 species
UACGGGGGGGGUAAGCGUUGUUCGGAAUUACUGGGCGUAAAGGGCUCGUAGGCGGCCAACUAAGUCAGACGUGAAAUCCCUCAGCUUAACUGGGGAACUGCGUCUGAUACUGGAUGGCUUGAAUCCGGGAGAGGGAUGCGGAAUUCCAGGUGUAGCGGUGAAAUGCGUAGAUAUCUGGAGGAACACCGGUGGCGAAGGCGGCAUCCUGGACCGGCAUUGACGCUGAGGAGCGAAAGCCAGGGGAGCCAAAGCGGG